rnacentral:rRNA from 1 species
CACAUGCAAGUCGAGCGGAAACGAUGGUAGCUUGCUACCAGGCGUCGAGCGGCGGACGGGUGAGUAAUACUUAGGAAUCUACCUAGUAGUGGGGGAUAGCACGGGGAAACUCGUAUUAAUACCGCAUACGACCUACGGGAGAAAGGGGGCAGUUUACUGCUCUCGCUAUUAGAUGAGCCUAAGUCGGAUUAGCUAGAUGGUGGGGUAAAGGCCUACCAUGGCGACGAUCUGUAGCUGGUCUGAGAGGAUGAUCAGCCACACCGGGACUGAGACACGGCCCGGACUCCUACGGGAGGCAGCAGUGGGGAAUAUUGGACAAUGGGGGAAACCCUGAUCCAGCCAUGCCGCGUGUGUGAAGAAGGCCUUUUGGUUGUAAAGCACUUUAAGCAGUGAAGAAGACUCUUCGGUUAAUACCCGGAGACGAUGACAUUAGCUGCAGAAUAAGCACCGGCUAACUCUGUGCCAGCAGCCGCGGUAAUACAGAGGGUGCAAGCGUUAAUCGGAAUUACUGGGCGUAAAGCGAGCGUAGGUGGCUUGAUAAGUCAGAUGUGAAAUCCCCGGGCUUAACCUGGGAACUGCAUCUGAAACUGUUAGGCUAGAGUAGGUGAGAGGGAAGUAGAAUUUCAGGUGUAGCGGUGAAAUGCGUAGAGAUCUGAAGGAAUACCGAUGGCGAAGGCAGCUUCCUGGCAUCAUACUGACACUGAGGCUCGAAAGCGUGGGUAGCAAACAGGAUUAGAUACCCUGGUAGUCCACGCCGUAAACGAUGUCUACUAGUCGUUGGGUCCCUUGAAGACUUAGUGACGCAGCUAACGCAAUAAGUAGACCGCCUGGGGAGUACGGCCCGCAA